UCUCCGUAGGUGAACCUGCGGAGGGAUCAUUACAGAGUUCAUGCCCUACCGGGUAGAUCUCCCACCCUAUGUUAUUAUUACUUUGUCGCUUUGGCGGGCCGUUAGGCUCCGGCCCGACUACCGGCCCCGGCUGGUAAGCGCCCGCCAGAGGACCCAAAACCCUGAAUAUUAGUGUCGUCUGAGUACUAUAUAAUAGUUAAAACUUUCAACAACGGAUCUCUUGGUUCUG
rnacentral:misc_RNA from 1 species